CCGGACUGGAAGAGCUAAUUCCUGGAGUAACCAGUAGGAGGCGCCGCAGGGAUUGUUCCAGUACCCCGGCAUACAGCUGAGUCACAGUUCAAAUGGUGGCAGAGCUGGAGGUGAGCAGACCUGCAGCCCACAGUUCCAGCAGAGCACAGCAGAGGGAAGCCUAAGACUCUGACAAAGCUGUCCGAAGGGGCCCUCCAGGAGGGAAGGAAGCACCCACCCCAGAGACAACCUGAGAGGGAAGUAUCCUGUGGAACUUGGAUGUUGGAAGAGACAAAGGAAGCAGCUGUUGGAUUCUGAGGGAGGAGUCCUGACCUAAAGAGUUUGGUCGGUAGGACUGCUGAAGGAGUGUGGUGAGA